rnacentral:rRNA from 1 species
CACGUAGGGGGCGAGCGUUGUCCGGAUUUAUUGGGCGUAAAGAGCUCGUAGGCGGCUUAGCAAGUCGGGUGUGAAAACUCCAGGCUCAACCUGGAGACGCCACUCGAGACUGCUAUGGCUAGAGUCCGGUAGGGGACCACGGAAUUCCUGGUGUAGCGGUGAAAUGCGCAGAUAUCAGGAGGAACACCGGUGGCGAAGGCGGUGGUCUGGGCCGGCACUGACGCUGAGGAGCGAAAGCGUGGGGAGCGAUCCGG